rnacentral:miRNA from 4 species
UAUUGCACUCGUCCCGGCCUGC